rnacentral:lncRNA from 1 species
CCAUCAUUCUUUUUCUAAUCCAUCUUGUACUUUUUUAUUGGAUGUAUGAUCUAAAAAAUCAAUUAUUGACUGACAUAUUAUAUUAAUUCUAGGAUAUAUUUUUAUACUUGAUUUAUUGAAAUUAGUAAAAUUGAUAAUUAUUUUUAUUCUAGAGUAAUGUAUCCUAGAAUCGUCUAAGGAGUUAAUGGUCAAUGAUAUAU